rnacentral:rRNA from 1 species
UACGUAGGGUGCGAGCGUUAUCCGGAAUUACUGGGCGUAAAGAGCUCGUAGGCGGUUUGUCGCGUCGUCCGUGAAAACUUGGGGCUCAACCCCAAGCUUGCGGGCGAUACGGGCAGACUUGAGUACUGCAGGGGAGACUGGAAUUCCUGGUGUAGCGGUGAAAUGCGCAGAUAUCAGGAGGAACACCGGUGGCGAAGGCGGGUCUCUGGGCAGUAACUGACGCUGAGGAGCGAAAGCGUGGGUAGCAAACAGG